AGGACGAACGCUGGCGGCGUGCCUAACACAUGCAAGUCGAACGCGCUCCAUUCGGUAGCAAUACUGAUGAAGAGCGAGUGGCGAACGGGUGAGUAGCACGUGAGCAACCUGCCCCGAAGACUGGGACAACACCGGGAAACCGGUGCUAAUACCGGAUAUCCCUAUCGGACCGCAUGAUCUGAUAAGGAAAUGGAUUCCGCUUCGGGAGGGGCUCGCGGCCUAUCAGCUAGUUGGUGGGGUAACGGCCCACCAAGGCAUCGACGGGUAGCUGGUCUGAGAGGACGAUCAGCCACACUGGGACUGAGACACGGCCCAGACUCCUACGGGAGGCAGCAGUGGGGAAUCUUGCGCAAUGGGCGAAAGCCUGACGCAGCAACGCCGCGUGGAGGACGAAGGCUUUCUGAGUUGUAAACUCCUUUCAGCAGGGACGAUAGUGACGGUACCUGCAGAAGAAGCACCGGCCAACUACGUGCCAGCAGCCGCGGUAA
rnacentral:rRNA from 1 species